rnacentral:rRNA from 1 species
UACGGGGGGGGCAAGCGUUGUCCGGAAUUAUUGGGCGUAAAGCGCGCGCAGGCGGCCUUUUAAGUCUGAUGUGAAAGCCCACGGCUCAACCGUGGAAGGUCAUUGGAAACUGAAAGGCUUGAGUACAGAAGAGGAAAGCGGAAUUCCACGUGUAGCGGUGAAAUGCGUAGAGAUGUGGAGGAACACCAGUGGCGAAGGCGGCUUUCUGGUCUGUAACUGACGCUGAGGCGCGAAGGCGUGGGGAGCAAACAGG